UACGUAGGGUGCGAGCGUUGUCCGGAAUUAUUGGGCGUAAAGAGCUCGUAGGCGGUCUGUCGCGUCGGUCGUGAAAACUUGGGGCUUAACCCUGAGCUUGCGGUCGAUACGGGCAUGACUGGAGUUCGGCAGGGGAGACUGGAAUUCCUGGUGUAGCGGUGAAAUGCGCAGAUAUCAGGAGGAACACCGGUGGCGAAGGCGGGUCUCUGGGCCGAUACUGGCGCUGAGGAGCGAAAGCGUGGGGAGCGAACAGG
rnacentral:rRNA from 1 species